rnacentral:rRNA from 1 species
GACGAACGCUGGCGGCGUGCUUAACACAUGCAAGUCGAACGGAAAGGCCCUGCUUUUGUGGGGUGCUCGAGUGGCGAACGGGUGAGUAACACGUGAGUAACCUGCCCUUGACUUUGGGAUAACUUCAGGAAACUGGGGCUAAUACCGGAUAGGAGCUCCUGCUGCAUGGUGGGGGUUGGAAAGUUUCGGCGGUUGGGGAUGGACUCGCGGCUUAUCAGCUUGUUGGUGGGGUAGUGGCUUACCAAGGCUUUGACGGGUAGCCGGCCUGAGAGGGUGACCGGCCACAUUGGGACUGAGAUACGGCCCAGACUCCUACGGGAGGCAGCAGUGGGGAAUAUUGCACAAUGGGCGGAAGCCUGAGGCAGCAACGCCGCGUGCGGGAUGACGGCCUUCGGGUUGUAAACCGCUUUCGCCUGUGACGAAGCGUGAGUGACGGUAAUGGGUAAAGAAGCACCGGCUAACUAC